rnacentral:misc_RNA from 1 species
UUUAGGUUUGUUGGGGAGAAUGAAUCAUUUCCAAAGGAUUCUUUCUUGAUUAAUGAUGUCAAUGAAAAUGCUGUGCCUAUAACCUUAACAACACAACCAGGUUGGGGUGAUAUUUUAGAAGAAGAUUCCACUCAGGAUGCUGAUCAUCUUACAGCGGAUCUUGCUAUUUCCUUUGAGGAGGAAAAUCUUAAUCAUGGUGCAGAAGUUUGUGAUCCUUCUGAUAAGGAGGAAGGAUCAGUGAUUGAAGAAGAGGUUGUUGAACACCAAGCUGGUUCUACCCG